rnacentral:rRNA from 1 species
UCCAGUAGCUAGAUCACCCUGCACCUCACAUCUUGCAGCCCACUGAAGCUCAGCAGGUGCGAGUCUGGGCAGCACCUGGAUGGGAGACCUCCUGGGAAAGCUAAGGUUGCUGCUGGAA